AAGUCGUAACAAGGUUUCCGUAGGUGAACCUGCGGAAGGAUCGUUAGUGAAUUUGAGAGCGUGACUUUCGGUUAGCUCAACCUUCAUUUCCAACUCUGUGCACUAUUGGCGGACUGGGAGCAAGUAAUUGCUAUUCAAGUCUGCGGCUCACUAUUAAACAUUAGUUAAAGUAUGUAUAUAAAAAACAAAAACAAAAAAA
rnacentral:misc_RNA from 1 species